UGGGGAAUUUUGGACAAUGGGCGAAAGCCUGAUCCAGCAAUGCCGCGUGUGUGAAGAAGGCCUUCGGGUUGUAAAGCACUUUUGUCCGGAAAGAAAUCCUUGGCUCUAAUACAGUCGGGGGAUGACGGUACCGGAAGAAUAAGCACCGGCUAACUACGUGCCAGCAGCCGCGGUAAUACGUAGGGUGCAAGCGUUAAUCGGAAUUACUGGGCGUAAAGCGUGCGCAGGCGGUUUGCUAAGACCGAUGUGAAAUCCCCGGGCUCAACCUGGGAACUGCAUUGGUGACUGGCAGGCUAGAGUAUGGCAGAGGGGGGUAGAAUUCCACGUGUAGCAGUGAAAUGCGUAGAGAUGUGGAGGAAUACCGAUGGCGAAGGCAGCCCCCUGGGCCAAUACUGACGCUCAUGCACGAAAGCGUGGGGAGCAAACAGGAUUAGAUACCCUGGUAGUCCACGCCCUAAACGAUGUCAACUAGUUGUGGGGAUUCAUUUCCUUAGUAACGUAGCUAACGCGUGAAGUUGACCGCCUGGGGAGUACGGUCGCAAGAUUAAAACUCAAAUGAAUUGACGGGGUCAUAGCUG
rnacentral:rRNA from 1 species